ACACUGACAAAGGCAGCAAGUUUUUUUCCCUUGGCCGGAAGGUCUGGGUAAUCUUGUGAAACUUUGUCGUGCUGGGGAUAGUCCUUUGUAAUUA
rnacentral:ncRNA from 1 species